GGGGAGAGUGGCGGCUGUUCUUGUGAUGAAGAAGGAGCCGCAGGAUUUAAGAAGGAGAAGGGAAUGGCAUGAGGCUUCAAGUGAGGGAAUGAGUGUUAUGGUCUAAAAAAUAUCUAACUCAUCUUUUAUUUAGGAUCGAUAGGAUCGGUCAGGAUCGGUGGAGGGAUCGGUUAAGAUCGUCUAUGAUCGUGGGCAGGAUCGUUAGGAUCAGCUAGGAUCGUUGAUAGGAUCAGUAGGAUCGCUCAAAACUACUAAUUAAAUUUUUUUUUGCUAGUAUCUUUGUUCUUUUUUGCUAACUGUGGUUUAUUAUUAUAUCCUUGCGUGUAUGUGGUCUAAAUAUAUUAUGUGUAGUGUAUAUCUUAUAUAUAUUUUGUCAUUUGAUUAAGAAUCGAGAAAAAAACAGCAUUAAAAAAGUAAGAUAUGUAUACAUUUUAAAAUUAAAGAAAAAUCUUUAGAAAA